rnacentral:lncRNA from 1 species
UGGGAGACGGAUAAUGUAAUCUAUAUAUUAUAUGAAAACACAGUUUUCUAACGCCCCGCAAAAAUUUUGACAGUUUAUUUUCACCAAAAUUUCAGGCAUAUACAAUGUGAUUCGUAACAAUUUCAAAAGUUCAAACGUGAUUUCAACAACAGUUUUUACUCAAAAAUAUGGAUUUGAGCAAUCAACAUUCAAUAUCUUCACCAAAAAAAGGAAAUGUCAAGAGAAAUUGUCUUCUGUAAAUACCUUUAGGCGGCUUGAGGGUUGUACUGGUCCCGAUGAGGUGGCGAAAUCAGUGGGGCAAAUAGAGCCGAGGGCGGCGCCGUGCUACUGUAACAGGCUAGAGAGAUGAUGGUGUGUAGUGUGUACGGCGGCGGCCGUGGCUACCUGUGACUGUUGCUGCCGCCGAAGAGAGAGAGAAUAAAUGCGAGAUUCACACAGAUAGGGGAGGGAUCGAAACUCG